UAGGGAAUAUUGGUCAAUGGAGGCAACUCUGAACCAGCCAUGCCGCGUGCAGGAAGAAGGCCCUAUGGGUCGUAAACUGCUUUUGAACAAGAGAAAACCCCGGUACGUGUACUGGGUUGAUAGUAUUGUUAGAAUAAGCAUCGGCUAACUUCGUGCCAGCAGCCGCGGUAAGACGAAGGAUGCAAGCGUUAUCCGGAUUCAUUGGGUUUAAAGGGUGCGUAGGCGGACUGAUAAGUCAGUGGUGAAAUCUCUCGGCUUAACCGAGAAACUGCCAUUGAUACUGUUAGUCUAGAGUACAGAUGAUGUGGGCGGAAUAUGACAUGUAGUGGUGAAAUACUUAGAUAUGUCAUAGAACACCGAUUGCGAAGGCAGCUCACAAAACUGUAACUGACGCUGAGGCACGAAAGUGCGGGGAUCAAACAGGAUUAGAUACCCCAGUAGUCCCUGAGCGGGCUGGCAAGGCGCAU
rnacentral:rRNA from 1 species